rnacentral:rRNA from 1 species
UUGCUUCUCCGCCGGCGACCGGCGCACGGGUGAGUAACACGUAUGCAACCUGCCCCUGUCGAGGGGGACAACCCGCCGAAAGGCGGGCUAAACCCGCGUACAUGCCACCGGGGCAUCCCGGAGGCAGGAAAGGCUUCGGCCGGACAGGGAUGGGCAUGCGGCGCAUUAGGCAGUAGGCGGGGUAACGGCCCACCUAACCGACGAUGCGUAGGGGUUCUGAGAGGAAGGUCCCCCACACUGGUACUGAGACACGGACCAGACUCCUACGGAAGGCAGCAG